UACAGAGGUCCCAAGCGUUGUUCGGAUUCACUGGGCGUAAAGGGUGCGUAGGUGGUUGUGCAAGACUGAUGUGAAAUCUCCGGGCUCAACCCGGAAAUGGCAUUGGAAACUGCGUGGCUAGAGGGUUGGAGGGGGGACUGGAAUACUUGGUGUAGCAGUGAAAUGCGUAGAUAUCAAGUGGAACACCAGUGGCGAAGGCGAGUCCCUGGACAACACCUGACACUGAGGCACGAAAGCUAGGGGAGCAAACAGG
rnacentral:rRNA from 1 species